rnacentral:rRNA from 1 species
AGCUCCAAUAGCGUAUAUUAAAGUUGUUGCAGUUAAAAAGCUCGUAGUUGGAUUUCUGCGAGGGUGCCAAUGUCCGCCGACGCGCGUGCGCAGCGGCGCCCUCGCAUCCUUCUGUUACCACCUCUCGGCAUUGACUUGCCGGUGGUCGGCUCAGAGAAUUUACCUUGAGAAAAUUAGAGUGUUUCAGGCAGGCUAGGCCGGAAUACAUUAGCAUGGAAUAAUGGAAUAGGACUACGGUCUCGUUGUUGGUUUGAGGGACUGCAGUAAUGAUUAAUAGGGAUAGUUGGGGGCAUUAGUAUUUAAUUGUCAGAGGUGAAAUUCUCAGAUUUGUUAAAGACUAACUUAUGCGAAAGCAUUUGCCAAGGAUGUUU